rnacentral:rRNA from 1 species
UACGUAGGAUCCAAGCGUUAUCCGGAAUUACUGGGCGUAAAGCGUACGUAGGUGGAGAUUUAAGUGAGAUGCGAAAUCUGGCGGCUCAACCGUCUAGACUGUGUCUCAUACUGGGUUUCUUGAGGUUGGCAGAGGCAAGUGGAAUUUCCGGUGUAGCAGUGAAAUGCGUAGAGAUCGGAAGGAACACCAAUGGCGAAGGCGGCUUGCUGGGCCACACCUGACACUGAGGUACGAAAGCGUGGGGAGCGAACAAG